CCAUGCAAGUCGAGCGGAUGAAGGGAGCUUGCUCCUGGAUUCAGCGGCGGACCGGUUGAGUAAUGCCUAGGAAUCUGCCUGGUAGUGGGGGAUAACGUCCGGAAACGGGCGCUAAUACCGCAUACGUCCUGAGGGAGAAAGUGGGGGAUCUUCGGACCUCACGCUAUCAGAUGAGCCUAGGUCGGAUUAGCUAGUUGGUGGGGUAAAGGCCUACCAAGGCGACGAUCCGUAACUGGUCUGAGAGGAUGAUCAGUCACACUGGAACUGAGACACGGUCCAGACUCCUACGGGAGGCAGCAGUGGGGAAUAUUGGACAAUGGGCGAAAGCCUGAUCCAGCCAUGCCGCGUGUGUGAAGAAGGUCUUCGGAUUGUAAAGCACUUUAAGUUGGGAGGAAGGGCAGUAAGUUAAUACCUUGCUGUUUUGACGUUACCAACAGAAUAAGCACCGGCUAACUUCGUGCCAGCAGCCGCGGUAAUACGAAGGGUGCAAGCGUUAAUCGGAAUUACUGGGCGUAAAGCGCGCGUAGGUGGUUCAGCAAGUUGGAUGUGAAAUCCCCGGGCUCAACCUGGGAACUGCAUCCAAAACUACUGAGCUAGAGUACGGUAGAGGGUGGUGGAAUUUCCUGUGUAGCGGUGAAAUGCGUAGAUAUAGGAAGGAACACCAGUGGCGAAGGCGACCACCUGGACUGAUACUGACACUGAGGUGCGAAAGCGUGGGGAGCAAACAGGAUUAGAUACCCUGGUAGUCCACGCCGUAAACGAUGUCGACUAGCCGUUGGGAUCCUUGAGAUCUUAGUGGCGCAGCUAACGCGAUAAGUCGACCGCCUGGGGAGUACGGCCGCAAGGUUAAAACUCAAAUGAAUUGACGGGGGCCCGCACAAGCGGUGGAGCAUGUGGUUUAAUUCUAACCAACGCGAAGAACCUUA
rnacentral:rRNA from 1 species